rnacentral:ncRNA from 2 species
CCUUUGCACUCAGAUUUCGGUAUUGCAAUUUCAAAAUCGUGAAGUUGUAAUAAAAGGGAACCCGGUGUGAAUCCGGGGCUGUACCUGCAGCUGUAAUUUCUCAUAAAAUCGGUUGAAAAUUCCAUGCCACUGUUUCGAAAGAAAUGGGAAGGCUUUUAACCGGAGAAUAGCCAGAAGACCUGCCAAAUCUGUCAAAUAAAC